rnacentral:rRNA from 1 species
UACGUAGGGUGCGAGCGUUAAUCGGAAUUACUGGGCGUAAAGUGUGCGCAGGUGGCCGCGCAAGUCGAGUGUGAAAUCCCCGAGCUUAACUUGGGAAUUGCGCUCGAAACUACGUGGCUCGAGUGUGGCAGAGGAAGGUGGAAUUCCACGUGUAGCGGUGAAAUGCGUAGAGAUGUGGAGGAACACCGAUGGCGAAGGCAGCCUUCUGGGCCAACACUGACGCUCAGACACGACAGCAUGGGGAGCGAACGGG